GUCCCGGUGGUGCAAUGGAUAGCGCGUCGCACUUCUAAUCCGGAGGUUAUGGGUUCGAGUCCCAUACGGGACG
rnacentral:tRNA from 1 species